AAUUAAUUUUUAACGGCCGCGGUAUCCUGACCGUGCAAAGGUAGCAUAAUCACUUGUCUCCUAAAUAGAGACUUGUAUGAAUGGCAAGACGAGGGUUUAACUGUCUCUUUUUCUUAAUCAAUGAAAUUGACCUACCCGUGCAGAGGCGGGUAUAACUCUAUAAGACGAGAAGACCCUGUGGAGCUUAAAAUUACAACUUAAAUUAAUUUAUUUCAUACCCAAGGGAUUAAUAUUACAAAAUUUUCUUAAGCUGAAUUUUUGGUUGGGGUGACCUCGGAGCACAAGCAACCCUCCGAAUGAUAUAACUAAGACUAACACAUCUAAGUGCUAUCCAAGCCAGUAAUUGACCCAAAACUUGAUCAACGGAACAAGUUACCCCAGGGAUAACAGCGCAAUCCUAUUU
rnacentral:rRNA from 1 species